CCUACGGGUGGCAGCAGUGGGGAAUAUUGGGCAAUGGGCGCAAGCCUGACCCAGCAACGCCGCGUGAAGGAAGAAGGCUUUCGGAUUGUAAACUUCUGUCGCGAGGGACGAAGAAUGACGGUAUCUCGUAAGAAAGCCUCGGCUAACUACGCGCCAGCAGCCGCGGUAAUACGGAGGGGGCAAGCGUUGUCCGGAAUGACUGGGCGUAAAGGGAGUGUAGGCGGUUUAUUAAGUUAGAUGUGAAAACCCGGGGCUUAACCGCGGAACUGCAUCUGAAACUGGUGAGCUGGAGUGCAGGAGAGGUGAGUGGAAUUCCUAGUGUAGCGGUGAAAUGCGUAGAGAUUAGGAGGAACACCAGAGGCGAAGGCGACUCACUGGACUGUAACUGACGCUGAGGCUCGAAAGCGUGGGGAGCAAACAGGAUUAGAUACCCUAGUAGUC
rnacentral:rRNA from 1 species